rnacentral:rRNA from 1 species
GAUGGACACACCGCUGGUGUACCAGUUGUUCCGCCAGGAGCAUGGCUGGGUAGCUACGUGUGGUCGGGAUAAGUGCUGAAAGCAUCUAAGCAUGAAGCCCACCUUGAGAUGAGAUUUCCCAUUACCUAGAGUAAUUAAGAUCCCUCAGAGACGAUGAGGUUGAUAGGUCUGAGGUGGAAGCGUGGUGACACGUGGAGCUGACAGAUACUAAUGGAUCGAAGACUUAUCUAU